rnacentral:rRNA from 1 species
GGGGGAUAAAUUAAUAAAGUAUAAAUAAUAAAAAAAUUUUUAAUAUUAAAAUAUUUUAAUGGGGGUUAAAGUAUAUUUAAUAGAAAAAAUAAAAAAAUUUAUAGAAAAUUAGUAUUGUAAAAGAAAUUUGAAAUAUAUUGAAAAUAAAUUUAUUUAAAAGUAAAUUUAAUUUAUUGUAUCUUGUGUAUCAGAGUUUAUUAAUAAUAAUUUUUUUUUAAAAAUUUUCUCGAAUUUAAAAGAGAUAAUUAAUUAUUAAAAUUAAUGUUGUAUAAUUAUUUUUAAUAAUUAAUUGGAAAUGAGAUGUUAAUCGUUUUUAAAUAUAUCUAGUUUUUUUAGAAAAAAAUUUAAUUUUAAAUUUUAAAAGAAAAUACAAUUUUAAUUAAUUAAAAUUGUAUUUUUAAAAUUAAAUAUUUUAAGGGAUAAGCUUUAAAAUAAAUUUUUAUAAUAAGUUUUAAUAAUAAUUAAAAUUUUUAAAAUUUAUAUUGUUUAUAAAUUAUAAUUUUUUAUAAAUAAUUUUAAUUUAAUUAAAAUUUCAAAAUUUAUUUAAUUUUUUAUUAAAAAAUAUUUUUUAAUAACUUAAAUUUAGAUAUAAUGAUAAAAUUAGUAUAUAAAUAGAUAAAUGUAAUUUAUUAUUUGAUAAUUUAAUAAAAGGAAUUCGGCAAAAAUUUAUAUUCACUUGUUUAUCAAAAACAUGUCUUUUUGAUUAAUAAUUUAAAGUCUAAUCUGCCCACUGAUAAUAUAUUAAAGGGCUGCAGUAUUUUGACUGUACAAAGGUAGCAUAAUCAUUAGUCUCUUAAUUGGUGACUUGUAUGAAGGAUUUGAUGAAAUAUAUACUGUCUCUUUUUGAUUUAUAAAAUUUAAUUUUUUAGUUAAAAAGCUAAAAUUUAUUUAAAAGACGAGAAGACCCUAUAGAGUUUUAUAUUUAUAUAAAUUAAAAUUUUUUAUAAGAUUUAAAAUUUCAAUUUAUAUAAAUAUUUUAUUGGGGUGAUAGAAAAAUUAAAAUAACUUUUUUUAUAAUUUUACAUUAAUAAAUGAAUAAAUGAUCCGUAAUUUACGAUUAUAAGAUAAAAUUACCUUAGGGAUAACAGCGUAAUUUUUUUUUUAGUUCAAAUAAGAAAAAAAGUUUGCGACCUCGAUGUUGGAUUAAGAUAAAAUUUAAAUGCAAAAGUUUAAAAUUUUUGAUCUGUUCGAUCAUUAAAAUCUUACAUGAUCUGAGUUCAAACCGGUGUAAGCCAGGUUGGUUUCUAUCUUUAGAUUAAUAAAAUAUUUUAGUACGAAAGGAUCAAAUAUUUAAAAUAGUUUUAUUUAGAAGAAUUUUAAUAAUAGUAAAUAUUUUUAAAUAUG